rfam:Lupinus angustifolius cultivar Tanjil chromosome LG20, whole genome shotgun sequence.
GAUCACAGUGAUGACCACAUAAUAUUCAAGCUCAACAGACUGGAAUGUAGGGUUCUCUCUCUUAUGAGAUUACUUUGCGUGUCGACAAUCCCGCUGAACUGAGUGAUC